UACAGAGGCCUCGAGCGUUGUUCGGAAUUACUGGGCGUAAAGGGAAUGUAGGUGGUGACGUAAGUCAAAUGUGAAAGCCCUGGGCUUAACCCGGGAAGUGCAUUUGAUACUGCGUUGCUGGAGUGCGAGAGAGGAAAGCGGAAUUCCCAGUGUAGGAGUGAAAUCCGUAGAUAUUGGGAGGAAUACCGAUGGCGAAGGCAGCUUUCUGGCUCGUAACUGACACUGAGAUUCGAAAGCGUGGGUAG
rnacentral:rRNA from 1 species